UACGUAGGGGGCAAGCGUUGUCCGGAAUCAUUGGGCGUAAAGAGCGCGUAGGCGGUCCGGUAAGUCCGCUGUAAAAGUCAAGGGCUCAACCCUUGAAGGCCGGUGGAUACUGUCGGGCUAGAGUCCGGAAGAGGCGAGUGGAAUUCCUGGUGUGGCGGUGAAAUGCGCAGAUAUCAGGAGGAACACCUAUGGCGAAGGCAGCUCGCUGGGACGGUACUGACGCUGAGGCGCGAAAGCUAGGGGAGCGAACAGG
rnacentral:misc_RNA from 1 species